rnacentral:rRNA from 1 species
UGCCAGCCGCCGCGGUAAUACGAAGGUGGCAAGCGUUGUUCGGAAUCACUGGGCUUAAAGCGUACGUAGGCGGAUUAUCAAGUGUCCUUUGAAAUCCCACGGCUCAACCGUGGAACUGGGGGGCAAACUGGUAAUCUUGAGGCAGUUAGGGGUGGGUGGAACUCUUGGUGGAGCGGUGGAAUGCGUAGAUAUCAAGAGGAACGCCAGAGGUGAAAACGACCCACUGGGACUGUCCUGACGCUGAGGUACGAAAGCGUGGGUAGCGAACGGGAUUAGAUA